rnacentral:lncRNA from 1 species
AAUCAAAGGCUAACCAAGUUAAACCAAGACUUAGCCAGGCUAAACCAAGCUUUCGCUUUGCAUAUCCAGGGUUAGCUCAGCUAAGCCGCAGCCAAAUUUGUUUCGACCUUUUUUAAACAGCUUGGUUAAC